rnacentral:rRNA from 1 species
CCUACGGGUGGCUGCAGUGGGGAAUAUUGGACAAUGGGCGAAAGCCUGAUCCAGCCAUGCCGCGUGUGUGAAGAAGGCCUUCGGGUUGUAAAGCACUUUCAGUGGGGAAGAAAGCCUUGGGGCUAAUACCCUCGAGGAAGGACAUCACCUACAGAAGAAGCACCGGCUAACUCCGUGCCAGCAGCCGCGGUAAUACGGAGGGUGCGAGCGUUAAUCGGAAUUACUGGGCGUAAAGCGCGCGUAGGCGGUCUGAUAAGCCGGUUGUGAAAGCCCCGGGCUCAACCUGGGAACGGCAUCCGGAACUGUCAGGCUAGAGUGCAGGAGAGGAAGGUAGAAUUCCCGGUGUAGCGGUGAAAUGCGUAGAGAUCGGGAGGAAUACCAGUGGCGAAGGCGGCCUUCUGGACUGACACUGACGCUGAGGUGCGAAAGCGUGGGUAGCAAACAGGAUUAGAUACCCCUGUAGUC